CUGCAAGCCCCAUCCUGCCCGCACUUCCUUCACUUCACGAUAUCACUACUGACAAAAGCCUGUCUGGUAGGAGAUAACUUUCACAUCUGUCAUCUUUUUCCUUCCAAUUCCACAAUCAUCAUAUUCCAAUGGCACCACAACCUGUAAUUAUAAAAUACUCAAGAACUCCUUUUGAUUUGAUGCUUAUAGGCAAAAGAAGCAUUGCCUGCUGCAUGUUCUAG
rnacentral:misc_RNA from 1 species